UGGGGAAUAUUGGGCAAUGGGCGAAAGCCUGACCCAGCAACGCCGCGUGGAGGAAGAAGGUCUUCGGAUUGUAAACUUCUUUUAUGAGGGACGAAGGACGUGACGGUACCUCAUGAAUAAGCCACGGCUAACUACGUGCCAGCAGCCGCGGUAAUACGUAGGUGGCGAGCGUUAUCCGGAAUUACUGGGUGUAAAGGGUGUGUAGGCGGGAUUGCAAGUCAGAUGUGAAAUACCAAGGCUUAACCAUGGAGCUGCAUUUGAAACUGUUUUUCUUGAGUACUGGAGAGGCAGACGGAAUUCCUAGUGUAGCGGUGAAAUGCGUAGAUAUUAGGAGGAACACCAGUGGCGAAGGCGGUCUGCUGGACAGCAACUGACGCUGAGGCGCGAAAGCGUGGGGAGCAAACAGGAUUAGAUACC
rnacentral:rRNA from 1 species